rnacentral:tRNA from 1 species
GCUGAAAUAGUUUAAAGGGUUAAAACAUACCACUCAUGAUGGUAAAAAGAAGGUUCAUUUCCUUUUUUAGGUU